rnacentral:rRNA from 1 species
AACGCUAGCGGGAGGCUUAACACAUGCAAGUCGAGGGGCAGCACGGGUAGCAAUACCUGGUGGCGACCGGCGCAAGGGUGCGUAACGCGUGAGCAACAUGCCCUAUACAGGGGGAUAAUCCAGGGAAACUUGGUCUAAUAUCCCAUAGUAUUUAGAGGAGGCAUCUUCUAUAAAUUAAAGCUUCGGUGGUAUAGGAUUGGCUCGCGUGACAUUAGCUAGAUGGUGAGGUAACGGCUCACCAUGGCAAUGAUGUCUAGGGGUUCUGAGAGGAAGGCCCCCCACACUGGGACUGAGACACGGCCCAGACUCCUACGGGAGGCAGCAGUGAGGAAUAUUGGACAAUGGAUGGAAAUCUGAUCCAGCCAUGCCGCGUGCAGGAAGACAGCCCUAUGGGUUGUAAACUGCUUUUAUAUGGGAGCAAUAAGGUCUACGUGUAGACUGAUGAGAGUACCAUAUGAAUAAGCAUCGGCUAACUCCGUG